rnacentral:rRNA from 1 species
CAAUAGCGUAUAUUAAAGUUGUUGCGGUUAAAAAGUUCGUAGUUGGAUUUCUGCUGAGAACGACCGGUCCGCCCUUUGGGUGUGUAUCUGGCUCUUUCUUGGCAUCUUCUUGGUGAACGUUGCUGCACUUGACUGUGUGGAGCGCUACCCAGGACUUUUACUUUGAGGAAAUUAGAGUGUUUCAAGCAGGCAUACGCCUUGAAUACAUUAGCAUGGAAUAAUAAGAUAGGACCUCGGUUCUAUUUUGUUGGUUUCUAGAGCUGAGGUAAUGAUUAAUAGGGAUAGUUGGGGGCAUUCGUAUUUAACUGUCAGAGGUGAAAUUCUUGGAUUUGUUAAAGACGGACUACUGCGAAAACAUUUGCCAAGGAUGUUUUCAUUGA